GACUGCGGAGGGAUCAUUACCGAGUUUACAACUCCCAAACCCCUGUGAACAUACCACUUGUUGCCUCGGCGGAUCAGCCCGCUCCCGGUAAAACGGGACGGCCCGCCAGAGGACCCCUAAACUCUGUUUCUAUAUGUAACUUCUGAGUAAAACCAUAAAUAAAUCAAAACUUUCAACAACGGAUCUCUUGGUUCUGGCAUCGAUGAAGAACGCAGCAAAAUGCGAUAAGUAAUGUGAAUUGCAGAAUUCAGUGAAUCAUCGAAUCUUUGAACGCACAUUGCGCCCGCCAGUAUUCUGGCGGGCAUGCCUGUUCGAGCGUCAUUUCAACCCUCAAGCACAGCUUGGUGUUGGGACUCGCGUUAAUUCGCGUUCCCCAAAUUGAUUGGCGGUCACGUCGAGCUUCCAUAGCGUAGUAGUAAAACCCUCGUUACUGGUAAUCGUCGCGGCCACGCCGUUAAACCCCAACUUCUGAAUGUGACCUCGGAUCAGGUAGGAAUCCAGGAUUG
rnacentral:rRNA from 1 species